UCUGGUUUAACAUAUAAUUAAUGUGGUAGAUUGUAAAUCUUUUAAAAGCUAAAAAGCUA
rnacentral:tRNA from 1 species